rnacentral:rRNA from 1 species
GUCGAACGGAUCCUUCGGGAUUAGUGGCGGACGGGUGAGUAACACGUGGGAACGUGCCUUUUGGUUCGGAACAACUCAGGGAAACUUGAGCUAAUACCGGAUAAGCCUUUCGAGGGAAAGAUUUAUCGCCAUUAGAGCGGCCCGCGUAGGAUUAGCUAGUUGGUGGGGUAAAGGCCCACCAAGGCUACGAUCCUUAGCUGGUCUGAGAGGAUGAUCAGCCACAUUGGGACUGAGACACGGCCCAAACUCCUACGGGAGGCAGCAGUGGGGAAUCUUGCGCAAUGGGCGAAAGCCUGACGCAGCCAUGCCGCGUGAAUGAUGAAGGUCUAGGGAUUGUAAAAUUCUUUCACCGAGGACGAUAAUGACGGUACUCGGAGAAGAAGCCCCGGCUAACUUCGUGCCAGCAGCCGCGGUAAUACGAAGGGGGCUAGCGUUGCUCGGAAUUACUGGGCGUAAAGGGAGCGUAGGCGGAUAGUUUAGUCAGAGGUGAAAGCCCAGGGCUCAACCUUGGAAUUGCCUUUGAUACUGGCUAUCUUGAGUACGGAAGAGGUAUGUGGAACUCCGAGUGUAGAGGUGAAAUUCGUAGAUAUUCGGAAGAACACCAGUGGCGAAGGCGACAUACUGGUCCGUUACUGACGCUGAGGCUCGAAAGCGUGGGGAGCAAACAGGAUUAGAUACCCUGGUAGUCCACGCUGUAAACGAUGAGUGCUAGUUGUCGGCAUGCAUGCAUGUCGGUGACGCAGCUAACGCAUUAAGCACUCCGCCUGGGGAGUACGGUCGCAAGAUAAAACUCAAAGGAAUUGACGGGGGGCC